rfam:Candidatus Gottesmanbacteria bacterium RIFCSPLOWO2_01_FTLL_39_12b rifcsplowo2_01_scaffold_1874, whole genome shotgun sequence.
UGGGUUCAGAACGUCGUAAGACAGUUCGGUCUCUAUCCGGUGCAAGCGUUGGAUACUUGAGGGGGGCUCUUGCUAGUACGAGAGGACUGCGAGGGAGGAAUCCCUGGUGUGCCAGUUGUCUUCCCAGAGUGGAGGCAGCAAGCUGGAUAGCUACAUUCCUUCGGGAUAAGCGCUGAAAGCAUCUGAAGCGCCAAGCCCACCCCAAGAUAAGGUAUCCCUUUAAACCCCUGGUAGAUUACCAGGUUGAUAGGCGGAAGGUGUACGCACCGUAAGGUGUUUAGCCCAUCCGUACUAAUUGGUUGAGAGUAAAUUUUAA